rnacentral:rRNA from 1 species
UACGUAGGGUGCGAGCGUUAAUCGGAAUUACUGGGCGUAAAGCGUGCGCAGGCGGUUGUGCAAGACAGAUGUGAAAUCCCCGGGCUCAACCUGGGAACUGCAUUUGUGACUGCACGGCUGGAGUGCGGCAGAGGGGGAUGGAAUUCCGCGUGUAGCAGUGAAAUGCGUAGAUAUGCGGAGGAACACCGAUGGCGAAGGCAAUCCCCUGGGCCUGCACUGACGCUCAUGCACGGAAGCGUGGGGAGCAAACAGG